GCCUACGGCCAUACCACCCUGAGAACGCCCGAUCUCGUUUGAUCUCGGAAGCUAAGCAGGGUCGAGCCUGAUUAGUACUUGGAUGGGAGACCGCCUGGGAAUACCAGGUGCUGUAAACU
rnacentral:rRNA from 1 species